rnacentral:rRNA from 1 species
GACGAACGCUGGCGGCGUGCCUAAUACAUGCAAGUAGAACGCUGAAGGAGGAGCUUGCUCUUCUGGAUGAGUUGCGAACGGGUGAGUAACGCGUAGGUAACCUGCCUGGUAGCGGGGGAUAACUAUUGGAAACGAUAGCUAAUACCGCAUAAUAGUAGAUGUUGCAUGACAUUUGCUUAAAAGGUGCAAUUGCAUCACUACCAGAUGGACCUGCGUUGUAUUAGCUAGUUGGUGAGGUAACGGCUCACCAAGGCAACGAUACAUAGCCGACCUGAGAGGGUGAUCGGCCACACUGGGACUGAGACACGGCCCAGACUCCUACGGGAGGCAGCAGUAGGGAAUCUUCGGCAAUGGACGGAAGUCUGACCGAGCAACGCCGCGUGAGUGAAGAAGGUUUUCGGAUCGUAAAGCUCUGUUGUAAGAGAAGAACGAGUGUGAGAGUGGAAAGUUCACACUGUGACGGUAUCUACCA